rnacentral:lncRNA from 1 species
GGGGCAGUUCUCUCUCCAGCCCCACCCCUUGGCCUCGGAGGCGGCAACACCGGCCUUGGAACCGCCACCAGCCCAAAACUGUGAUUGGGGUCUGAAUCUCUACAGCUGCCUUGAAGGUUGUCGGAGACGUCUUUGGUCCAGGACAAGUCACGAACCACAGAUGCCCAAGCCCCCGGCCCGCGGCUUGCGGGUCCAUGGAUGCUUCAAAUCUUCGCGCACCUGGACUUCCAGCUCGGCGAGAAAGCUGGUCAUCGCCUGCCCUCUGCUGGCCGAUGGAGGACUGAACUGGACGCUGGGGUGUAAGCAUGAACGCGACCUGCUCUCACGGAAUUCCAAGAUACAGACCAUAACAUCAAAUUCAAGCGAAUAUGAAAUUAUAGCUGUGGGCCAUGUGAGUGAAUAAUACGAGGAUCCGAUCCAGCCUUGGAGGAGGGUCGGGGGGAUGUUGGAGGUGGGAUUAGGAACUCCAAGCUGCCCCUAAGAGGGGACUUUCGAGCGCCUGAUGCUUCACAAAGUCAUUUCAGGUCAUCUCGAAAAUCCUGCAAGGGCGGGGGCGCUAUCCCCAUAAAGCAGAAAGCGGGGUCAGAUGGGGGAAAGAAUUUACCAAAGUCGCACAGCGAGCUAGGAGCAAAGCCAGGCAGGCUUAAGUCGGCUCGAUUCCAAAGUCCUGGCUUUUCCGCGGUUCCCGGGGCUGGGGUGGUGGCGGGCCACGGGGAUGGUCCCUCGGGGAGCACUAGGGCGCGGGGCGGGGCAGGGCGGGCUGGAGCCCGGG